UACGAAGGGUGCAAGCGUUACUCGGAAUUACUGGGCGUAAAGCGCGCGUAGGUGGUCUGUUAAGUCUGAUGUGAAAGCCCUGGGCUCAACCUGGGAAUUGCAUUGGAUACUGGCAGGCUAGAGUGCGGUAGAGGAUGGCGGAAUUCCCGGUGUAGCAGUGAAAUGCGUAGAGAUCGGGAGGAACAUCUGUGGCGAAGGCGGCCAUCUGGACCAGCACUGACACUGAGGCACGAAAGCGUGGGGAGCAAACAGG
rnacentral:rRNA from 1 species